CCAGCCGCCCCAUCUCUUUUGCUUCUCUCUCCCAGCGCCCAUCUCUCUCUCCUCUGCCCGGCCCCAAACGCCAUGGCCGCCGUGAGCUCUCUGCCGUGCUCUCUCUCUCUUCCGAGCUCCUCUGGUUCCAUGGCCGCGCCCAAGGUCCUCCCAUGGCGUCCGUCCUCCUGAGCUCACCCCUCUUGCUGUGCUGCUCGCCCCAGCUCGAAUUUCUCUCUGUGCGCGCGAGCUGCCAAGCACGUUUCCCUGUGUCCUGGUUGGAGCUCGCCCCUUCGGUGUCCAUGGCCGCCCAGUCUCCACUCCCCAUUCCUGCCGUGGUCGACGCCUCUCCCUGCUCCAUCUUCUUCCUUGCCGUGGCUGUUCCACAGCUCAGCUCUGCUCCAGCAGUUCCUAUGGCGCGCGCUCAGCCAGCCCUCCAUUUUUCCUCUGCUGCGCGCAGCUCGCCGAGCAGUCCCUGCGCGUUUCUCUCUCGCGCAGAUCUCUCUCCUUCCCGGCGUUUCUCUCUAUUGCUCCGCGCUAUAGCGACCGUCGGACCGAUCGUUCCCUGCGCGCCGACUUUCUUGUGCGCGCCGUUGCGAGCUCGUCAGCCACUGUUGGCUUAUCACAGAACCCCCAACGCCGUCGACCUCGCUUAGCCAGUCGACCAUAGUCGCUGCCGAGCGCUUGUCCCGCAGUAUUUGGGUCUCGCUGAUUGGCCGCUCUUGCCCACCGUUAAUUCCGCCUCGCAGCUCGCCUGCUGUUGUGGUGCUGACACUCCACGACACUCGUGUCGAUGCAUCGUUGUCUGGCCGAGAGUUGUCGUCACUAUUUCGCUUUCGUCCAAAUUGUCAUCACGGAUGCUUAAUUCUCUGGUCGCGCGUCUUUCUAUCUCGCGCGUGUGAGUUGGAAGCUCUGCACGUUCGUCGUCCUUUAGUCCCAGUUCAACCCCCAUCUCGCCAGGUCGCUCCAGACACAAUCUCGUCGUCGUUCCGCGCCUCAGCAAGAAAUUCCAAGAAACGGGUGAAGACGAAGCCAGCAGCGUGAUAUUCACCAAGUGCGCGACAAAAGUUCGGUUCGUCAAAAUUAUUUAGUCGAGGAGAAGAUCUUCAGUAAUUGAUUACCGAAGAAAGAAGACCCCUGGAUGACGUCAACCGGAACUGUAGUCGUGCUUGCGACUAUCGCGUCAAAUUAGUCAGGGUACGUUAAUUAAUCACGUGAUGCGGAAGACGAGCCAAGUCGACCCCAAGCGUGGACUAAUUUGCAAGAUGAAGCUGAUGGACCAACCUGAAGAUGGACAAUGGAGUGAGUAUCGGAAUAAAGGCUGAUCGUCAAGUGGACGUCGUCUAACAACACUAACCUAGUGUUACCCAGGCAAGCCCCGGUGCAUUUGCCCCUUCCUUGUGUUUUAAAUGCUUUUCACCUUAUCUGAUGCAUUAGGUGAUAUGAGUUGUGUGAUAAACAAUUGAUGCAUUACCAUUCCUUGGCAACUCCUUAAUCCCGAUUUUAUAAAAAGAAUUGAUAAUGCUUAGCCCUGCUUAGAAACUGAAAAAUCAUUUGUUUUCAAAAAGAAUGAUUGUGGAACAUUGGUUAUGGGCCUUUCGUUUCAAAAAUCAAAGCAAACUUAUGGUGAUGAUUCCACUUCGGCCGGAGUGGAUUCAUCAUUUGGAAAAGAGUACCCCUGUCGGGUACCAAAAAUGGGAAAAUGGUUUAAAUACAUCUAGACCAGAUGCUGAGCGGACGUGGUCGCCCGUCUGUGUCGAUUAAGGACCGUUCGAUGUAGGCCUGUUGUGGUGGAGACCUUGCAACUAGCC
rnacentral:lncRNA from 1 species